rnacentral:misc_RNA from 1 species
GAUGAAGAACGCAGCGAAAUGCGAUAAGUAAUGUGAAUUGCAGAAUUCAGUGAAUCAUCGAAUCUUUGAACGCACAUUGCGCCCGUCAGUAUUCUGGCGGGCAUGCCUGUUCGAGCGUCAUUACGCCCCUCAAGUCCCCUGUGGACUUGGUGUUGGGGAUCGGCGAGGCUGGUUUUCCAGCACAGCCGUCCCUUAAAUUGAUUGGCGGUCUCGCCGUGGCCCUCCUCUGCGCAGUAGUAAAACACUCGCAACAGGAGCCCGGCGCGGUCCACUGCCGUAAAACCCCCCAACUUUUUAUAGUUGACCUCGAAUCAGGUAGGACUACCCGCUGAACUUAAGCAUAUCAAUAAGCGGAGGA